rnacentral:lncRNA from 1 species
AAACCCCGAAAACCCUAGCAGCAACAGGAGCCUCCUUCCAGCGCUGCAACCAUAAGCUGGGCUUCUCCACGCACACACUGCCACGCACAUCUCUGUACGACCACCUCCAUACCUCCAGGCUGGCCGAAUACCUGCAAAAAAAAACGCACGGAAACAACAGCAAACAGAAAAACAACAGCAUAGAGGUGAAUUUUUAAUUAUUUUUUCAUUUUAUUUUUUGUAAAUCGGGAUAUAAGAAAGCCAUUCGAAUACUGUAACGGGAUUUACGCAUUCAAUAUACAAAGAAAUUGAGAAUACAAAAGAAUCAAAAAAGCAGAGAAAGGUGAUUUUCUGGGUUUUUUUAUUCCUUUCUAUCUUGUUGGUUACUUGAUUUUUUUUCUUUACUUUUUUAAUUUGUACAUUCAUCAAUCGUUGUUUAAAAAAGAAAUAGGAAAAUGAAAGGGAGGGAAACGUACCUGGUAGCGCGAUCCUGGCUCUCUCCGGCGUCAUUGGAGCAGGGGCUGGGAUCAAUGACUGCUCGAGUACCUUCAAUACCCAGAACGGCGCUGAGUUUUUUUUUCCGUUUAGGUUUU